GAUGAAGAACGCAGCAAAAUGCGAUAAGUAAUGUGAAUUGCAGAAUUCAGUGAAUCAUCGAAUCUUUGAACGCACAUUGCGCCCGCCAGUAUUCUGGCGGGCAUGCCUGUUCGAGCGUCAUUUCAACCCUCAAGCACAGCUUGGUGUUGGGACUCGCGUUAAUUCGCGUUCCCCAAAUUGAUUGGCGGUCACGUCGAGCUUCCAUAGCGUAGUAGUAAAACCCUCGUUACUGGUAAUCGUCGCGGCCACGCCGUUAAACCCCAACUUCUGAAUGUUGACCUCGGAUCAGGUAGGAAUACCCGCUGAACUUAAGCAUAUCAAUAAGCGAGGA
rnacentral:misc_RNA from 1 species